AUUGAACGCUGGCGGCAGGCUUAACACAUGCAAGUCGAACGAGUGGCGGACGGGUGAGUAAUGCUUUGGAAUCUGGCUUAUGGAGGGAGAUAACUACGGGAAAAUGUAGCUAAUACCGCGUAACAUAGGAUGGGGCCACGUGGGAUUAGGUAGUUGGUGAGGUAAAGGCUCACCAAGCCGACGAUCUCUAGCUGGUCUGAGAGGAUGACCAGCCACACUGGGACUGAGACACGGCCCAGACUCCUACGGGAGGCAGCAGUGGGGAAUAGUGGGCAAUGGGGGAAAGCUGACGCAGCCACGCCGCGUGAAUGAAGAAGGCUUUCGGGUGGUAAAGUUCUUUCGGUAGAGAGGCGUUAACUACAGAAGAAGCACCGGCUAACUCCGUGCCAGCAGCCGCGGUAAUUC
rnacentral:rRNA from 1 species